UUCUUAUAUAUAUGUUUAUAUAUAUACAAGAUAACGACACACUAAAUAGAAUAAAGAGGGAAAAAACAAACCCUACAUAACACGUAACUAUUAAAAAACACAGAAAAAUGGAUAACAUAAAUAGAUAAAUCAACCUAGAAAUAACUUAACCAGUUCUAGUUGUAUUUUACGAGUUAUUCAUUGAAAUCGUAGACAAAUUGGUUGAAAAUGUUUUAAAUAUGACGUAUGGGUUAUUCAUAUUUGAUUCUUAUAUAUAUGUUUAUAUAUAUACAAGAUAAUGACACACUAAAUGGAAUAAAGAGGGAAAAAACAAACCCUACAUAACACAUAACUAUUAAAAAACACAGAAAAAUAGAUAACAUAAAUAGAAAAAUCAACCUAGUAAUAACUUAAACAGUUCUUGUUGUAUUUACGAGUUAUUCAUUGAAAUCGUAGACAAAUUAUUUAAAAAUGUUUUAAAUAUGACGUAUGGGUUAUUCAUAUUUGAUUCUUAUAUAUAUAUUUAUAUAUAUACAAGAUAACGACACACUAAAUAGAAUAAAGAGGGAAAAAACAAACCCUACAUAACAAGUAACUAUUAAAAAACAUAGAAAAAUAGAUAACAUAAAUAGAAAAAUCAACCUAGAAAUAACUUAACCAGUUCUAGUUGUAUUUUACGAGUUAUUCAUUGAAAUCGUAGACAAAUUGUUUGAAAAUGUUUUAAAUAUGACGUAUGGGUUAUUCAUAUUUGAUUCUUAUAUAUAUGUUUAUAUAUAUACAAGAUAACGACACACUAAAUAGAAUAAAGAGGGAAAAAACAAACCCUACAUAACACGUAACUAUUAAAAAACAUAGAAAAAUAGAUAACAUAAAUAGAAAAAUCAACCUAGAAAUAACUUAACCAGUUCUAGUUGUAUUUUACGAGUUAUUCAUUGAAAUCGUAGACAAAUUGUUUGAAAAUGUUUUAAAUAUGACGUAUGGGUUAUUCAUAUUUGAUUCUUAUAUAUAUGUUUAUAUAUAUACAAGAUAACGACACACUAAAUAGAAUAAAGAGGGAAAAAACAAACCCUACAUAACACGUAACUAUUAAAAAACAUAGAAAAAUAGAUAACAUAAAUAGAAAAAUCAACCUAGAAAUAACUUAACCAGUUCUAGUUGUAUUUUACGAGUUAUUCAUUGAAAUCGUAGACAAAUUGUUUGAAAAUGUUUUAAAUAUGACGUAUGGGUUAUUCAUAUUUGAUUCUUAUAUAUAUGUUUAUAUAUAUACAAGAUAACGACACACUAAAUAGAAUAAAGAGGGAAAAAACAAACCCUACAUAACACGUAACUAUUAAAAAACAUAGAAAAAUAGAUAACAUAAAUAGAAAAAUCAACCUAGAAAUAACUUAACCAGUUCUAGUUGUAUUUUACGAGUUAUUCAUUGAAAUCGUAGACAAAUUGUUUGAAAAUGUUUUAAAUAUGACGUAUGGGUUAUUCAUAUUUGAUUCUUAUAUAUAUGUUUAUAUAUAUACAAGAUAACGACACACUAAAUAGAAUAAAGAGGGAAAAAACAAACCCUACAUAACACGUAACUAUUAAAAAACAUAGAAAAAUAGAUAACAUAAAUAGAAAAAUCAACCUAGAAAUAACUUAACCAGUUCUAGUUGUAUUUUACGAGUUAUUCAUUGAAAUCGUAGACAAAUUGUUUGAAAAUGUUUUAAAUAUGACGUAUGGGUUAUUCAUAUUUGAUUCUUAUAUAUAUGUUUAUAUAUAUACAAGAUAACGACACACUAAAUAGAAUAAAGAGGGAAAAAACAAACCCUACAUAACACGUAACUAUUAAAAAACAUAGAAAAAUAGAUAACAUAAAUAGAAAAAUCAACCUAGAAAUAACUUAACCAGUUCUAGUUGUAUUUUACGAGUUAUUCAUUGAAAUCGUAGACAAAUUGUUUGAAAAUGUUUUAAAUAUGACGUAUGGGUUAUUCAUAUUUGAUUCUUAUAUAUAUGUUUAUAUAUAUACAAGAUAACGACACACUAAAUAGAAUAAAGAGGGAAAAAACAAACCCUACAUAACACGUAACUAUUAAAAAACAUAGAAAAAUAGAUAACAUAAAUAGAAAAAUCAACCUAGAAAUAACUUAACCAGUUCUAGUUGUAUUUUACGAGUUAUUCAUUGAAAUCGUAGACAAAUUGUUUGAAAAUGUUUUAAAUAUGACGUAUGGGUUAUUCAUAUUUGAUUCUUAUAUAUAUGUUUAUAUAUAUACAAGAUAACGACACACUAAAUAGAAUAAAGAGGGAAAAAACAAACCCUACAUAACACGUAACUAUUAAAAAACAUAGAAAAAUAGAUAACAUAAAUAGAAAAAUCAACCUAGAAAUAACUUAACCAGUUCUAGUUGUAUUUUACGAGUUAUUCAUUGAAAUCGUAGACAAAUUGUUUGAAAAUGUUUUAAAUAUGACGUAUGGGUUAUUCAUAUUUGAUUCUUAUAUAUAUGUUUAUAUAUAUACAAGAUAACGACACACUAAAUAGAAUAAAGAGGGAAAAAACAAACCCUACAUAACACGUAACUAUUAAAAAACAUAGAAAAAUAGAUAACAUAAAUAGAAAAAUCAACCUAGAAAUAACUUAAGCAGUUCUAGUUGUAUUUUACGAGUUAUUCAUUGAAAUCGUAGACAAAUUGUUUAAAAAUGUUUUAAAUAUGACGUAUGGGUUAUUCAUAUUUGAUUCUUAUAUAUAUUUUUAUAUAUAUACAAGAUAACGACACACUAAAUAGAAUAAAUAGGGAAAAAACAAACCCUACAUAACACAUAACUAUUAAAAAACACAGAAAAAGAGAUACCAUAAAUAGAAAAAUCAUCCUAAAAAUAACUUAACUAGAUCUAAUUGUAUUUUACGAGUUAUUCAUUGAAAUCGUAGACAAAUUGUUUUAAAAUGUUUUAAAUAUGAUCUAUGGGUUAUUCAUAUUUGAUUCUUAUAUAUACGUUUAUAUAUAUAUAUAUACAAGAUAACGACACACUAAAUAGAUUAAAGAGGGAAAAAACAAACCCUACAUAACACGUAACUAUUAAAAAACAUAGAAAAAUGGAUAACAUAAAUAGAUAAAUCAACCUAGAAAUAACUUAACCAGUUCUAGUUGUAUUUUACGAGUUAUUCAUUGAAAUCGUAGACAAAUUGUUUAAAAAUGUUUUAAAUAUGACGUAUG
rnacentral:lncRNA from 1 species